CUGAUCCAAAUAUCUGAAAUUUACUUGUUUUUCCUUUUUUAUUUCUCGAAUUUUCUAAAAAAAAAUAUAUAUGCAAAAAGAAAAUUCUUGAACCCUAAUUGACCUAAUUCCCUAAACACUCCUCUAUCUCAAACGCAGUCACGCCUCUCUCUCUCUCUCCUCUAUCUCUCUCUGUCUCUCUCUUGACUCUUUAGUCUCUUCUCGUUCUCUGGCUCUCUCCUCUCAAACUCUCAAGGCUCUCAGAUUUCACUUCAAAAGUUCAAAUCCCUUACAUAAAUUGAAAUUUCUGAAUUUCUAGGGUUAUUAUUUUUUGAAAUUGGUCGUUGAAGGCUUGAAGCUCCAUUCAACCUCGUGCUCUCCGCCAUUGAAGGUUGAACACUUGAACCUCGUGCUCUCCGCCAUUUGAGGUCUUCUGUAUUUUACUUUUGAUAAUGGAUGAUCAUGAUAUUACUGCUGAAAGUGCUGCCCCAACUAACCCGUUGAUACGACUGUCGCGUGUCUACCAAAUAUAAACCUAACUAAAACCUCCUAAAAUGUAGUAGGGUAAGCUAGGGUCGAUCCCACAGAGAAUUGGAUUAUCAAAUUAUUACUUGUGUAAGUUAGAAACCCCUGUUUUGAAGAAACAAUGAUAUGAUCUAAUAAAUAAACUACUAACUAGAUAACAAAUAAAGCACGGAGAAGUAAACUAAUAAAAAUUAAAAUACGAUAAAAUCAAAAAUAAUAAAAUAGGGAAUCGGGAGAUGUAUUAUAGCAUUGGAGUAUCAAUUAUUGCUCAUCGAAUUAUACGAAUUACAUUUAUAUCUUAAUGUUAACCAAGGAACACAAACAAGCAUUCAGAACUUCCCUUAAUUGCAUAUAUACCAAACGAGCUCUCGGAAUAUUGUCUAAGUAACUAAUAAUCUAGAACAAGCUCUCUAGACUCGAUUAAUUAGCCGCAUUAAUAACAAGGAAGUAGUUAACUUAAGCCACGAGUCUCACAAGCUCGGACUUGUGCAACUCAAAGGGUUGAUAAUCUUAGGUGUGAGACAAGUUUUAGUCACCAAUCACACACCUGAUCACUACUAAUGGUAUUAGCUAGAACAAUUACGGAUCACAAGCUAAAAUUCUAGUCGUCAAACUAACAAAUUAUACUAAAGAUGGCCGGUCUCAAACAUAAUCAACUAGUUCGUAAUUCAAGCGGAUUACCAAACCAAUUAAGAAUAUAAACAUAAUACCCAAGGACUACAACAUAUCAAUUCUCACAAUCCAAUAAUCCAAUGCAUAAUUGAUCUCCCUACCCCUCUAAUAAUUUAGCCUAACAUAACAAAUAUUGAGGUUAUCAUACUAGAACAUAUAGAAUUCAUAGUCAAACUAGUUAACAAAGCAAAAUAGAAAUAGAUACUAGAAAUUAUAUUAAGCAAUCAAAGUAUAAUUCCCAGGAGUAACUGACGCAUUCAAGAACAAAUUAAGGAAGCACUAACUUUAUUAUUUCCAUUUUCUAAACAAAACUUCUACUGCUAAUCCAAAGUAAAAACAAGUAGCUGACAAUUGAAUGUAAACAAAAUAUAUAAAAUACCAAAAGCUUCCAGUAGAUGAUCAGAGUAACCAUGCACAGAACCAAGCCACCUCUGUUCACUCGUCUACCACCUCUGUUCACUGUUGGAUGUCGCAACUCUCCGCCGAAAUUCAGAUUAUAUUCCCUCAAUUUUGCUCCCCAAAAUUACGGAUCUGAUAACACUCAAAAACUUCCCUAACCGAAAGAUAAGGAACUAGCCUUUGAUUCAUCUCCGUUGCUCCGAGUAUUUCGCUCCAAUAAUUAUCCAAUUUCAUCUUUAUCAUCUUGUUUGACGGUUUGUUCUCCGUGAAAGUCGGUGAAAAACUCUAUGCUUUAGAGCAAGGAGAAAUGUUCUUGAGCUGCCUCUUUUUUUCACUCAGCUAAGUAGGAAGAUAUUUUCAUUCAAGGCCCAAAUGUAAAAGCCUACACAAUAAAACAAUAUUGGGCUUGAAAUAUUUGAGAGUCAACUGGCUUGUAAAUUUUGCUUUUCUUAAUCAAAGUGGCGUAGAAUGCAAUUUGAUGCCGAUAUUUUCUUUCCUGCAAACAAAUAAAUAAAAUAGUAGUAACUCAUGUAUAGGAUAGAAAAUUACUUAUUAUAUUCUUAAAUUAUCAAAUGCCAAUAUAAAAUCAAGAGUUUAAUAUAUAAAAAUAAUAUACUUUUAUGGUCCUAUCACCUGUCAAGUGAGGAUCCCUUGGCUUCAAGUGCUGCUGCUGCUGCUGCCGAGCGUGUUAGAGAUCAAAAUCCACCAAUAGUUUCAGCAAAAAGACCUUCAAGUGGGACUAGUGAUGAUGUAGGAGCUGAAAAUAAAGGUAAGAAAAAAAGGUCUUGGCUUUGGGAUCAUUUUGAGUUGAUAAAAAAAGAUGGGGAUAAAAGAUCAAAAUGUUUGUAUUGUCAUGUUGAUGUUUGUGGUGACUCUAAAAGUGGUACAAGUGUUAUGAAAAAUCAUCUUACAAGGUGUAAGGAUUAUCCCCCUAAUAUUGAGCAAUCACAAAGUCUUCUUGCUUUUUCAAACACAAAGUCAACAAAAUUUAGUAGAUAGUAUUGGUGAUAAUAAAAAAUGUGAAAAGAAAGGGAAAUUAGAAUUUUGGAAGUUUAGGCAGGAGGAUGGUAUAAAAGCUUUUGCUAAAAUGAUAAUAAUGGAUGAAUUGCCAUUUAGGUUUUCUAAGCGUGAGGGUUUUCGCCAUUUUAUGUCUGUUGUUCAACCAAAUUUUAUUAUUCCCUCUCGUUUCACAGUUGCUAGAGACUGUUAUCGUGUGUUUUUGGAUGAAAAAAAAAAAUCUGAAAAGCUACUUUAGCAAGUGUUCUUCUCGUAUUUGUCUCACUACCGAUACAUGGACCUCUUGUCAAAAUUUGUCUUUCAUGUGUUUAACAGCCCAUUUUAUUGAUCAUAAUUAGAAUUUGCACAAAAAAAAAUUAAAUUUUUGUCCAAUUAGUGGCCAUUCCGGUGAGGCUAUUGGUAAAUCAGUUGAAAAGUGUUUGCUUGAGUGGGGUAUCACCAAGGUAAUGACCAUUACCGUAGACAAUGCAAGUUCAAAUGAUGUAGGGGUUCAAUAUUUGAGGACGAGGUUGCAAAGAUGGAAAGAUGGGACUAUUUUAGAUGGUAAAUUUGUGCAUAUGCGAUGUGCAGCCCACCUUCUUAAUUAAACAGUGAGGGAAGGUUUGAAAGAAUGUGAUGAAUCAAUAAAAAGGAUACGUAAUGCUGUGAGAUUUGUUAGAUCUUCCCCUGCUAGAUUGCAAAAGUUUCGAAAUUGUGUUAAUCAAGAACAAAUUCAAUCAAAACGUCAACUUUGUUUGGAUGUUGAAACUGGGUGGAACUCCACUUAUUUGAUGUUAGAAUAUGCUAUAGUUUAUCGAAAAGCUUUUGAUUUUUUGGAAAAUUCAGAUGGUGGUAAAUUUCUUGCUGAACUAACAAAACUUUCUGGUGUUCCUACCGAUAUUGAUUGGGAUCAUGUUGCUUCUUUGCUUCCCUUUCUUAAGAUAUUUUAUGAUGCUACUUUGAGACUUUCUGGAUCUUUGUAUACUACAACUAAUGUGUAUUUUCUUGAACUUGUGACAAUUUGGAAAAUGAUUAAAAAAUAAGUGUGAAAGUGUUGAUAGUGGUGAGAUGUUAAUGGCCCAUGGGAUGAAGAAAAAACAUGAAAAAUAUUGAGAAAAUGUGGAUAACAUUAACUUAAUGUUGUAUGUUGUUGUUGUGCUUGAUCCUAGACGCAAAAUGCAUUAUGUGAAGUGGGCUAUUAAUGAUCAAUAUGACUCUGUGAAGGCUGCAAAAUUGUAUGAUAUGGUCAUGAAUACUUUGACUUUGUUGUAUGAACAUUAUGCUUCUUUACAAAGUCAAAAUGUGCCAAAUGUUUCUGAAAAUAUUGAUUUGAGUUCAAGAGACUUGGAAACUUGUAAUGAUUGGCAUGAUGUGGCUGAUUAUGAGUUUGAAAGGAAUAUUGGUGGACAAACGGUUUUUGAUAAAAAAAAAAAAAAGUGAUUUGGACAAGUACUUAAUGGAUGAUAGAGAGCCUAUCACGGGUAAGAAUUUUGAUGCUUUGGGAUGGUGGAAAAAAGGGGUGGAGAGAUAUCCUAUUGUUGGUCUUAUGGCUAGAGAUGUAUUAGCCAUUCCGGUUUCUACGGUUGCAUCUGAAUCUGCCUUUAGCACCGGGAGGAAAGUACUUAAUGUGCUUCGUAGUUCUCUUUCUUCACAUAUGGUUGAAGCUUUGAUAUGUGCACAAGAUUGGAUGCGCAGUACACGUGGUCCACUUGUGAUUGAAGAAAGUAUUGAUGAUAUUCAACAAAUUGAAGAGGAGUUGUCUUCUCUUGUUGAUCCUCCCUCGGUUGCCGUUGUCGAUGAUUAUUUUUAGAAUUAGAGGUACAGUCACAGGAAUCAACUGGUGUGCUUCAUGCCUUCAUUACCAAACUGGUGGAGCAUGGGAUCCUUAAUUCCUUAUGAUGUGAAUUCUGUUACAUUAAUUAGUGAAUCAACAAUCCAGCUUUGGGAUUUACGGACUUUGAACAUUUCUUUGUUUUGUAAUGUGACAAUUAGUAUGCAAGUUUUCUAAAAUUUCCUUAUAUUGUAAUAUGUUAUAAUUAGUUGGACUUUAGGUUUUUUUAGUCACUUUGUGAGUUUGUUCACAGGUUGUUCAAAAUUUCAAAUCAGUCACUUUGGUUUGUUCAGGUUGUAUAAUUACUUAAGUUAUUCAGGUUAUUUAAUUUUGGAAUUUGUUCAGGUUGUAUAAUAGCAAAAUAACUAAAAUAUGCAUAUGAA